CAWGAGUGGUGUUUGGUUUGUUACGGGUGGUUGGCUCUUUGCUUGCGCAACAACUUCCACCCGACAAACCUCUUCAGUUUUGCAUCAAUGCUUGUAUCGCAUUGAAUGUAGGUUGGGUUUCUUGUGUUGCAUACCAAAUUGAUGGUAUCGAUCGAUGAAUUGAUGUUCCUUUUUUGUCUUGUGUUGCAUAUGUGAUACGAGAUGAACCUUGAAGCAGUCUUUGUGAUCCACUCUUUUGAUGCGCAUGCAUUGAUCGUGUGGCCCAUAAAGUAUUGCUUGGUCUCAUGGAUACGGAACCUGGUGUGGGCAUUGGAUCUUAUCAAUCCCUUGUUUGCCUUAUUUAAGCUUCUCUAAUACGAUUGACUAUCAUGUAGGGGUGUCUCUAUGUGGUAGUCGAUGUCAAAGAUGAAUG
rnacentral:misc_RNA from 1 species